rnacentral:rRNA from 1 species
GACGAGGGCGCGAGCGUUGUCCGGAUUUAUUGGGCGUAAAGAGCUCGUAGGCGGCUUGUCGCGUCGACUGUGAAAUCCCGCGGCUCAACUGCGGGUCUGCAGUCGAUACGGGCAGGCUAGAGUUCGGUAGGGGGAGACUGGAAUUCCUGGUGUAGCGGUGAAAUGCGCAGAUAUCAGGAGGAACACCGAUGGCGAAGGCAGGUCUCUGGGCCGAUACUGACGUGAGGAGCGAAAGUGUGGGGAGCGAACAGG